GCCAGCAGCCAUAUCCAUGUCACCCUGCAACUCACCACUGGCAGCCCACUGAAGCUCAGCAGGUGUGAGCCUGGCUAGUACCUGGAUGAGAGACCUCCUGGGAAAAACUAAGGUUGCUGCUGGAA
rfam:Lepisosteus oculatus linkage group LG16, whole genome shotgun sequence.